rnacentral:rRNA from 1 species
CUAAGGCUCCAGAGGAAGCCACGGCUAACUCUGUGCCAGCAGCCGCGGUAAUACAGAAGCGGCAAGCGUUGUUCGGAAUUAUUGGGCGUAAAGAGCACGUAGGCGGCCUUGCAAGUCAGUUGUGAAAGCCUUCCGCUUAACGGAAGAAUGCCAGCUGAUACUACAGGGCUUGAGUACGGGAGGGGAGAGUGGAACUUCUGGUGGAGCGGUGAAAUGCGUAGAUAUCAGAAGGAACGCCGGCGGCGAAAGCGACUCUCUGGCCCGAAACUGACGCUGAGUGUGCGAAAGCUAGGGGAGCAAACGGGAUUAGAUACCCCGGUAGUCCUAGCCGUAAA